rnacentral:tRNA from 1 species
AUAAGAAUCAAAUUUUUGAACCUAGUUUCGACCUAGACCUUUGAUGUUACCAUCCUUA